UGUAGGGAAGAAACAAGUCAAAAAUAGCUGGGAAACGUCUAUCUUCUUAAGCGUGGAAAGAGAGUGAGAGUCCAAAGGAGAAGGAAGAUGGCAAACAUCACUCGGUCGAUCUCCAUCUUGCUUCUUUGGGCUCUGGUCUUCUUCUGAACCCUAGCUGUAAUUCAGUGUUCCAUGACUGGGUUUGGCCUGAAGAGACGAUUUCACUUGCUUCCACUGAGCUGCUGCUAAGAAGGCAAAGGAUGAAAGCUUGAAGGAAAUAAUUCACAAAGUAUACUUUGAUGUUGAGAUCGAUGGAAAAUCUGUUGCUGGAGCAGCGAACGAAGAGUGCUCCUACAAAAAUAUCAAAGACGUGAAGUGUUGUGCAAACCUUCAAUUUGAGAAAUGCGAUCCCCGCAAUCGAGUUGACAACGACUGUUGUGACACUGUGUGCAGAAAGAAUUGUAUCAAGGGUGGGAGAUGCUUCGACGAACCCAAUAUCUGUCAUUGUUUAUGUUAAUGGAUGGGAAAUAAUUGUAUCAAGGGCGAGAGAUGCCUUGGCAGUAGCCCCGAACCCAAUUUCUGUCAUUAUUCAUGUUAAUUAAUGUAUACAUAUUUAUCACAAUGCAUUAGGGUUUUUAAAAUUUGGCCAA